rnacentral:rRNA from 1 species
GCGUGGACGAUGAAGGCCUUAGGGUUGUAAAGUCCUUUCGCCGGGGAAGAUAAUGACGGUACCCGGUAAAGAAGCCCCGGCUAACUCCGUGCCAGCAGCCGCGGUAAUACGGAGGGGGCUAGCGUUGUUCGGAAUUACUGGGCGUAAAGCGCACGUAGGCGGAUCAGUCAGUCAGGGGUGAAAUCCCGGGGCUCAACCCCGGAACUGCCUUUGAUACUGCUGGUCUGGAGGAUGGGAGAGGCGAGUGGAAUUCCGAGUGUAGAGGUGAAAUUCGU